rnacentral:rRNA from 1 species
AGUGAACGCUGGCGGUAGGCCUAACACAUGCAGGUCGAACGGCAGCACAGUAAGAGCUUGCUCUUACGGGUGGCGAGUGGCGGACGGGUGAGGAAUACAUCGGAAUCUACUUUUUCGCGGGGGAUAACGUAGGGAAACUUACGCUAAUACCGCAUACGACCUACGGGUGAAAGCAGGGGAUCUUCGGACCUUGCGCGAUUGAAUGAGCCGAUGUCGGAUUAGCUAGUUGGCGGGGUAAAGGCCCACCAAGGCGACGAUCCGUAGCUGGUCUGAGAGGAUGAUCAGCCACACUGGAACUGAGACACGGUCCAGACUCCUACGGGAGGCAGCAGUGGGGAAUAUUGGACAAUGGGCGCAAGCCUGAUCCAGCCAUACCGCGUGGGUGAAGAAGGCCUUCGGGUUGUAAAGCCCUUUUGUUGGGAAAGAAAAGCAGCAGGUUAAUACCCCGCUGUUCUGACGGUACCCAAAGAAUAAGCACCGGCUAACUUCGUG